rnacentral:rRNA from 1 species
UACGUAGGGGGCAAGCGUUGUCCGGAUUUAUUGGGCGUAAAGAGCGUGUAGGCGGCCAUACAGGUCAGCUGUGAAAACUCGAGGCUCAACCUCGAGACGUCGGUUGAAACCGUAUGGCUAGAGUCCGGAAGAGGCGAGUGGAAUUCCUGGUGUAGCGGUGAAAUGCGCAGAUAUCAGGAGGAACACCAAUGGGCGAAGGCAGCUCGCUGGGACGUGACUGACGC